UACAGAGGGUGCAAGCGUUAAUCGGAAUUACUGGGCGUAAAGCGUGCGUAGACGGUUAUCUAAGUCGGGUGUGAAAGCCCCGGGCUCAACCUGGGAAUUGCAUUCGAGACUGAAUAGCUAGGGUACGGUAGAGGGAAGUGGAAUUUCCGGUGUAGCGGUGAAAUGCGUAGAUAUCGGAAGGAACAUCAGUGGCGAAAGCGACUUCCUGGACCAGUACCGACGUUCAGGCACGAAAGCGUGGGGAGCAAACAGG
rnacentral:rRNA from 1 species